rnacentral:rRNA from 1 species
UACGUAGGGGCUAGCGUUGUUCGGAUUUAUUGGGCGUAAAGAGCGUGUAGGCGGCCAUGUAGGUCCGGUGUGAAAACUCGAGGCUUAACCUCGAGAUGUCAUCGGAAACCAUUUGGCUAGAGUCCGGAAGAGGAGAGUGGAAUUCCUGGUGUAGCGGUGAAAUGCGCAGAUAUCAGGAGGAACACCAAUGGCGAAGGCAGCACUCUGGGACGUGACUGACGCUGAGACGCGAAAGCGUGGGGAGCAAACAGG